GAUUUAAUUCCUGUUUUCCCCACAGGUGGAUAUCUUCCAGAAGGAUCUGUUGUUAAUCCCUAUCCACCUGGAAGUGCACUGGUCCCUGGUCAGCGUGGACAUUCCCCGCAAAGCCAUCACCUACUUUGACUCCCAGCGGACCCUCAAUAGACGCUGCCCAAAGCACAUUUUUAAGUAUCUGCAAGCGGAGGCCGUCAAAAAAGACCAACAAGAAUUUUUGAUGGGGUGGAAAGGAUUUUUCAAAAUGAACGUGGGCCGUCAGAACAAUGACAGCGAUUGUGGGGCGUUUGUGUUGCAGGUAAGUUUGGCAAAUGCUUUAACAACCGGCAAAAGGAGCGAUCGCAUUACCGGGUAAUUAUGACUUGUCUGUGACCAUGUGCCGAUGCCAAACAAGCAAUCUAGAAUUUGAGUCGUUUCAUUGUUUUUUUUUCCAGCUUUAUGGCCGUUUGACAGCGGCCGCCUUACCAGAAAGUUAAUAACUGGCUCGAGGAGAACUAUUUAUAUGAUAAUGAGAAUGAGAAUACAAUUAUUUUUUAGAAACUCAACAUAGUACAGAUAAAACAAUUGAUACAAUUAACAUAAACAAAUGAAAGAUAGCAGAGAAGCAAAUAUUUUGUAGAUAAGGCUCUGAUUUACAUCCUUUGUUUUUUGCCCUUAAAGUCCUCGUGUCCAGAGACAUACUUCCUAAAUUUGUAAACAAUAACAAAAAUGAGAAAAUAAUUUUUUUAUAGUAAAAAAUAUCGCUCUAACCACUGUCGUAUCGGCCUUACUAUACUUGGUAUUGUUACUAAUGAUAUUUGUAUCAAUCUGCCUUUGUUUACAUUCAAGAACUUUACUUGAGCAUAUAUUUACUACGGUGUGUAGUAUAGCAUGUUUUAGGAUAUCUCUAGACAAGGUCAAAUGCUGCUGACACUUCUUCUGUAUUUGACUAUCUAAAAAUGUCUUCUCGCCAUGUCUCCAACACGAAUGCGUUCAGAACUUUUGCCUCUCCCUCGUCCCGCCGUGCGCAAUGCGCAUGCAUGGGAUUGACGCUACAUACUCAAACACGCUCCGAACUGAGUACCGUAUUUUCCGCACUGGGUUACGUUAUACAUCCAUUAGAUGGAGCUGCGCUAAAGGGAAUGUCAACAAAACAUUCAGGUCAGUCAAACUUUAUUAAUAUAUUACAAACCAGCGUUCUGACAACUCUGUUCACUCCCAAAAUGAAUAAACAGCUGUUUUAUUAUUUUCCCCGAGGUAAAGUCAGUGACGUGGUAUUUUGUUUUUUUUAACAACAGCAAGGUAUAACAUGUAGUGCAACAUUUAUAUCACAUAGUGGAGGGGAACUUUUCCUCGAUUCAAUAAACACGUAAAAAACAGUCUGAUACUGUUACGGUAAAUCAAACGUUAGUGCAAUCACAAUAUAGUAACACUCGAAAUAGUGCAGAGCAAUAACAAUAUAUCAAUAACUCAACGUUGCUCAAACGUUGAUGUCACACAACACAACACACAAAAUAAACAUGUAAAGCUCACUUUAUUAAGUCAUUCCUCAUCCACGAAUCCCUCAAAUUCUUCUUCUUCAAUGUCCGAAUUAAACAGUUGGGCGGAUACGGCAUCCAACAUGCGUCUCGUCGAAGUCGUCAUUAAUCGAGUCAGUGUCGCUGCUGUUGUCUCGCAGUUCAGUGACAAUUCCUGCCUUCCUCAUAUAUCCCAGCAGUACAGGGGAAAAUUAAGUCGGCGGCUGCUUACCGUAGUUGCGAAACCUGUUGUGGCUCAAUAUUGGUCCAUAUAUAAGGCGCAGCGGAUUAUAAGGCGCACUGUCAGCUUUUGAUAAAAUUGGAGGUUUUUAGGUGCGCCUUGUAGUGCGGAAAAUAUGGCAGUUAAAAAAAUAAAUCUAGGAUUCAAAUGACACGCUCUAAACAGUGUCAGAUCAACCAAACCAUUACAUCCCUAAUAUGUUCAUAUUUUUGUUUUUACCCUUAUUGAUAUGUGAUUUAAAUGAUAGUGUACUAUGUAGGAUGACACGCAGACUCUUAACCUGAGGGG